AGUGAACGCUGGCGGUAGGCCUAACACAUGCAAGUCGAACGGCAGCACAGGAGAGCUUGCUCUCUGGGUGGCGAGUGGCGGACGGGUGAGGAAUACAUCGGAAUCUACUUUUUCGUGGGGGAUAACGUAGGGAAACUUACGCUAAUACCGCAUACGACCUACGGGUGAAAGCAGGGGAUCUUCGGACCUUGCGCGAUUGAAUGAGCCGAUGUCGGAUUAGCUAGUUGGCGGGGUAAAGGCCCACCAAGGCGACGAUCCGUAGCUGGUCUGAGAGGAUGAUGAGCCAAACUGGCACUGAAACAAGGUACAGAAACCUAAGGGAGGCAGCAGUGGGGAAUAUUGGGAAAUGGGCGCAAGACUGAUCCAGCCAUACCGCGUGGGUGAAGAAGGCCUUCGGGUUGUAAAGCCCUUUUGUUGGGAAAGAAAUCCAGCUGGUUAAUGCCCGGUUGGGAUGACGGUACCCAAAGAAUAAGCACCGGCUAACUUCGUGCCAGCCGCCGCCGUAA
rnacentral:rRNA from 1 species